rnacentral:rRNA from 1 species
CCUGCCGGCGACCGGCGCACGGGUGAGUAACACGUAUGCGACCUGCCCCCCGCAGGGGAUAACCGGGAGAAAUCCCGACUAAUACCGCGUAACGCCGCGGACCUGCAUGGGUCUGCGGCCAAAGGAAGCGAUUCCGGCGGGGGAUGGGCAUGCGGCGCAUUAGCUAGUCGGCGGGGUAACGGCCCACCGAGGCGACGAUGCGUAGGGGUUCUGAGAGGAAGGUCCCCCACACUGGUACUGAGACACGGACCAGACUCCUACGGAAGGCAGCAG